rnacentral:rRNA from 1 species
AUUGAACGCUGGCGGCAUGCUUUACACAUGCAAGUCGAACGGUAACAGGCCUUCGGGCGCUGACGAGUGGCGAACGGGUGAGUAAUGCAUCGGAACGUGCCCAGUCGUGGGGGAUAACGCAGCGAAAGCUGUGCUAAUACCGCAUACGAUCUGCGGAUGAAAGCGGGGGACCUUCGGGCCUCGCGCGAUUGGAGCGGCCGAUGUCAGAUUAGGUAGUUGGUGGGGUAAAGGCUCACCAAGCCAACGAUCUGUAGCUGGUCUGAGAGGACGACCAGCCACACCGGGACUGAGACACGGCCCAGACUCCUACGGGAGGCAGCAGUGGGGAAUUUUGGACAAUGGGCGCAAGCCUGAUCCAGCAAUGCCGCGUGCAGGAAGAAGGCCUUCGGGUUGUAAACUGCUUUUGUACGGAGCGAAAAGGCUCCCUCUAAUACAGGGGGCUCAUGACGGUACCGUAAGAAUAAGCACCGGCUAACUACGUGCAGCCGCCGCUGUAAAAC